UGCACAGACAUAGUAUAUAUGAUCUGGGUGCUGAAUUUCCAUCCUGCACACAAGGAGAGAGGGUUCCGGGUGGCUUUUGAUAACUGCGCUUAGUUCAGCUCAGAUGACAGGGAUGCAGAAUUUGUCAUCAAACUCUGUGAUCAUGUGGAGGAGGAAAGCUGCAACCCAGAUCUAGGCAUACACACGAGAGGUUCUGAAAUGCCCAGGAAUGGAUGUUUGGUAAAGAAAGCGCAACACAAGAACUGAGGUUGUCACUACUCAGAAGAAAAGGGUGUCACGCGUUGUCCUGUCAGAAGCAGAGACCACUAGAGGAAGG